GAUCAUUAUAGAGUUUUCUAAACUCCCAACCCAUGUGAACUUACCUUUUGUUGCCUCGGCAGAAGUUAUAGGUCUUCUUAUAGCUGCUGCCGGUGGACCAUUAAACUCUUGUUAUUUUAUGUAAUCUGAGCGUCUUAUUUUAAUAAGUCAAAACUUUCAACAACGGAUCUCUUGGUUCUGGCAUCGAUGAAGAACGCAGCGAAAUGCGAUAAGUAAUGUGAAUUGCAGAAUUCAGUGAAUCAUCGAAUCUUUGAACGCACAUUGCGCCCAUUAGUAUUCUAGUGGGCAUGCCUGUUCGAGCGUCAUUUCAACCCUUAAGCCUAGCUUAGUGUUGGGAAUCUACUUCUCUUAGGAGUUGUAGUUCCUGAAAUACAACGGCGGAUUUGUAGUAUCCUCUGAGCGUAGUAAUUUUUUUCUCGCUUUUGUUAGGUGCUAUAACUCCCAGCCGCUAAACCCCCAAUUUUUUGUGGUUGACCUCGGAUCAGGUAGGAAUACCCGCUGAACUUAAGCAUAUCAAUAAGCGGAGGAAAAGAAACCAACAGGGAUUGCCUUAGUAACGGCGAGUGAAGCGGCAACAGCUCAAAUUUGAAAUCUGGCCCUUGGGUCCGAAUUGUAAUUUGUAGAGGAUGAUUUUGGUGCGGUAUCUUCCGAGUUCCUUGGAACAGGACGCCUUAGAGGGUGAGAGCCCCGUACGGUUGAAUGCCUAGCCUCUGUAAAUCUCCUUCGACGAGUCGAGUAGUUUGGGAAUGCUGCUCUAAAUGGGAGGUAAAUUUCUUCUAAAGCUAAAUAUUGGCCAGAGACCGAUAGCGCACAAGUAGAGUGAUCGAAAGAUGAAAAGCACUUUGAAAAGAGGGUUAAAUAGCACGUGAAAUUGUUGAAAGGGAAGGAUUUGUGACCAGACUUUUUCUGGGCGGAUCAUCCGGGGUUCUCUCCGGUGCACUUCGCCCAGUAAAGGCCAGCAUCGGUUUUCGGCGUGGGAUAAAAGCAGUAGGAAUGUGGCUCUCUACGGGGAGUGUUAUAGCCUAUUGUAUAAUACCGCGCUGGGGACCGAGGUUCGC
rnacentral:rRNA from 1 species